GCGUUUUCACCCCACUCCUUUGGUGAUUAUUCUUACUGAAGUGAGUUUCAAAACAGGAACACAAGUACAUAUUUUAUACAUGGCCACUGUGUCACACAUGACUCAAUGAUCAUUUCCAUUCUCAUUUCUGCCAUGACUGCUCUCACGUAGGAGGGGCCAGAAGGCUCUCGUAGGGAUGAGUCUUGUGGUUCUCCCUCUCCUUCACGGUCUCUGUGUUCCCCUCUUUUUACCCUCCUCCAUGCCUUCGACCUCCCCAUACCAUGUGUAGAUGCUGUGGGACAGGGGAUGGACGAUGGUACUGACCCUCCUGGAUCUGGAGCUUAGUCACUGAGGGAGGUGAUCUCACCCGUGACCCAUUCAUUAGCUUCUCACCCUCUUGACUCCAGGUGUAGCUGCUCAGAUGACCCACGUAAAACCUUAACAAGACCAGUUAAAGUUGCUGAGUCAGGUUUCUGAUCCCUAAGGCCCCGCUGUGUUCAGAAAAGGAGAUGCCCACUCUGUGGAAGGACAUUCUGAAGAAUAAAUGAGCUGUUGCUCUUCUCUGACAAUUUUGGCAGGAUGAAGGGCAGCUCCACCUGAAGAGCAACCGUAGCUCCAGCGAGGCUGCAUUACAGUGCUUGACCCAUAGGAGGAAACGCUGACGCCUUCGUACUCCACACCUGUCCCAGAGAGGUCCAGUCACUCCAGAGAACGAGGAACGCAGUCUCUUGCUUCUUCUUGUGCCCCAGUGCCCACGAUGUCCUUUCCCACUCUACUUUUAACUUCAUCCCACAUCUGGAGAUAUGCACACAAUUUAGUGGGAGAAAAGUCGACCAAAUAGUAGUUUGUUUGUUUGUUUGUUUGUUUGUUUGUUUUGAGGAGGUAAGAUAAAAAUUAUGUAUAUGUUUGUGUACUUCAGAGAACUCAUUUGAAAAAAAAAUCCUAAGGCACUUUGGAGCAGGAAGGAUUGUGAAUUCUUUUUAUUUUGAUAACUAUAACUAUUUUUCUAAGGAAGAGCUAGAGGUUCAGAAAGAUUGUUAUUUUUCUAACAAACAAAGCACACACCUCACACAUUAUUCUGCUGUUUCCAUCUCCUUAUAGAACAAACUAUAGUUCAUUGAUAUGUCCAUUCACCUGGAGGACACACCCAGAACUUGCUAUGAGUGAGGCUUAGUAUUGACUGCAUGGCUGGGCUAGACAAUAUGCUGUGUUAAAUUAUACAGCUUGAAGUUGUUCAAGCAGUGUCUUAAAGAACCUUUUUGUCCCCUGCCCCCCCCCCCCACGCCCAACAGGUUGACAGCUUUGGCUCUGCACAGUUGAUUCUUACGUGUUCAAUCAUUGCUUCCCCUCAUGGACUCAUAAGAGCUGGCUUUUGUGAGAAUCAGGGCCUCAUAAAGACUGUAUUUUAUAAUAAGAAUUUUUCAGGACAUGGUGGACUUUCAUUUGUUGGCCUCAUAUCUUCCUGUUAAUAGAUUUUUUUUUCUGUAUCAUUCUACCUAUUUUGGUUUUCUAUGGAAAGGCAGAGGAAGCUGCCCUUAGAACACAUAUAACAAUAUUUUGUGUUCUAAGCAAAAAGUAUGUUGAGGCAUUUCGUUCCAACUUAGUCUUUUAUUAGAUAUAAAGAUGUAAUUAAAAAAAUAAUAUACAAGUGUUGGAUAAUAGGUAAACAAAAGAAGUGAUAGUAAAUCAAUGUGUUUUGUUCAGUGUUUGAAGUACUUGGUCCUACUGUGAUUGGUAGUUCAAGUUAUUUGACUACGUGACUACGUACGGGGAGAGAAAGAAGAGAGAGAGAGAGAGAGAGAGAGAGAGAGAGAGAGAGAGAGAGAGA